GACUCGUAGCCAUGGGACAGAGGAAUUUUCGGAGGCCCUUGCCUCCAAUUCUUUUCUUCUGCUUCUAGGUUCUAUUAUCUUCAAGAGAGAGAGAAAAAGAAGAAAGGAGGCAAAAACUAAGAGAAAGGUUCAAAAAAAUUGAAGGAAAAAAAUCUGGGACUUCAAAUAAGGUAUGAAUUUUAUAUUCAAAUUUAAUUUAUAUUUUCUUAUAUUCUAUAAUUUAAAAUUAUCAUGAAAUUAUAUUAAAAAAUUAGAUUAACUAUGAGAACAGAUGAAUAUAUAUGUUUAAUUUUAAUUCGUAUUUAUUGAAAUUUCCCUAGUAAUUAUUGAGAAAUUAUAGGUGAGCAAUUUUUUUGGAAAUUAUGGGAAGAACGUUUGACGAAUUUUUUAAAUUAGUUUAUGGUACUUAAAUUCAUGAUAUGUUUUUAACCGUUAUGAAUAUAUUUUGUCUAGUGUUGUUAUGUAAAAGUUUGAAGUCAAAUUAGCUUUGAUCAACUUUAAACAAUGAUAAACCGGCUGCUAUCAGAAACUUUAAGUGCAGAAAAUUUCUGCAGUAGAUUACUUAACUCCGAAUUAUCAUUUUUAAAAAAAUACGUUAUACUUUUUAAAUUCAUAAAAUUUUAUUAUGUUUACCCACUUCAUUUCUAGGUAUGCUAUGUUAAUUUCAUGAUUUUCCGGACAAGUAUUUAAGGUUUCAAAAAAAAUUAUAUAUUUGAGACUGUUGGGUUGCAUGUGAUUUUUUUUAUGCUUUUGUAUGCGUUUGGAUAUAUUUUUUGGUAUUAAGGAUGAAUGAGUGUAUAUAAUUCAUAUUUUUAGGUGGAAUUAUCUAAGAGGUGGUCUUGAUUCUCGUGAGUGAGCUUGAAAUUGAAAUUGAAGGUUGAUAAGGU
rnacentral:lncRNA from 1 species